AGUGAACGCUGGCGGUAGGCCUAACACAUGCAAGUCGAACGGCAGCACAGUAAGAGCUUGCUCUUACGGGUGGCGAGUGGCGGACGGGUGAGGAAUACAUCGGAAUCUACUUUUUCGUGGGGGAUAACGUAGGGAAACUUACGCUAAUACCGCAUACGACCUACGGGUGAAAGCAGGGGAUCUUCGGACCUUGCGCGAUUGAAUGAGCCGAUGUCGGAUUAGCUAGUUGGCGGGGUAAAGGCCCACCAAGGCGACGAUCCGUAGCUGGUCUGAGAGGAUGAUCAGCCACACUGGAACUGAGACACGGUCCAGACUCCUACGGGAGGCAGCAGUGGGGAAUAUUGGACAAUGGGCGCAAGCCUGAUCCAGCCAUACCGCGUGGGUGAAGAAGGCCUUCGGGUUGUAAAGCCCUUUUGUUGGGAAAGAAAAGCAGCAGGUUAAUACCCCGCUGUUAUGACGGUACCCAAAGAAUAAGCACCGGCUAACUUCGUG
rnacentral:rRNA from 1 species